rnacentral:lncRNA from 1 species
AGUAUUUCCCUCCGGAGUGUAGCUCCUGUGAAAUGCUCCAAGAUGAUCUCGGAUGCAAAUUCAGCCAUGCAAGAGUGAUGAAAUGCUUGCAUUAUUUCCAAAGAUGAAUUAAGACAAUGAGGCAGCUCUUCAUUUGUCAAGAUCCAGCACAAAGGUGCUCAAGAAAUGUUGAUAUGAAAAAAAAUCAAACCAACCUGGCUAAGGGUUCUCUACACUGGAAAUUACCUGUGGAUAAGUUAUGCUGUAGCCAGGGUGCUGGUACCAUCCAAACAGAUAAUUCAGAGGAGACAGGGGACACCAAAAUAAUAAGAUUUUCAAAGGAUUCUGUGAGGCCCCCAAAACUUGAGAACCUCUUGGAUUCAUCUCUCCACUCUGGUUUCUACCCCCAGAAUCUAUCAAGUGGCCUCACUCCUGGAUUACCUCCAGCACAAGAGAAAGUGCAUAUUCUGUCUGCUCUACUGGGCCAGGGGAGUAGGGAAAGAACAGGAGACAGUAAGGAUAAAAUGAAAGCAACAUAAAUGGGCAGCAUAAAAUAGAAAAAGCAGCUAUUGCAUCUCCCUCAUUUCAGAUUAUUUGUCAGAUAUGCCCUUCCCCACACAUGUGUGUAUGCAUGUUCCAUUACAUCACAGUUCUGUCCAUCUGCCCG